rnacentral:lncRNA from 1 species
CAUUAUAUGUAAUUUUCUCACAUUCAUCAGUUCUGUUCCAGUUUUAUUGCUCUUUGCAUUACUUUUUGCCCCUUCACUUAGCCAAAAGGCUGAGAAGUGAUUAACUUUUUGCCUCUUACCUGCAACCUCUUACAUAGGAUCUAGUAUCAUUCCACAUCCAUUCCGUUCCAUGUAUUACUGCCGCCCAAAUACUCUUCUCAAUGCAGAUUUAUAGUCUUGCUAUUUGCAUAAUCCAAAACCUGCAGUUCUCUAUGGCCUACAUAGAGAAUGAUUGUACCCAGCUUCCCUAACCCACAACCAGUUCAGUUUUAGAUCUGUGCUUCUGGCAUUGUUUCAAGAGUAAGUUCUGUGGUUUCCAUUUUCCAUGCUUUGCAAUUUUCAAUGUUCUCUUCUGUUGGAUCCCUGCUUUCUUCCAGUGCUCCCUGUUGGAUUCCUCAAAAACUUUAAGGCCUGAGUUUGUCAUCACUGUGUCCAUGGUGCAUUUUCAAGUCUAUAUAAUUUUAAGGCCAAGGAUUUAGCUCAAUGGCAACACUCCUGCCUCGCAAGCGGAAGGUCCUGAGUUCAGUCCCUGCCGAGAAAGUGAAAACUACAACACAAGCCGCUCUCUUAAGAGUUGUCAGCAACCCAUGUGUGUGUUACUUAAAUAUUAAAGAGGGGGAAAACAGAUUUUCAGGAACACAAGAAAUAGUUCUUCUAUACAAUAGCCUGUAGUCCUUCCUUGUCUCAUAUUUAAGGUAAAAACAAAACAAUUUUUCUCGUGUGUGUGUGUUUGUGUGUAUUUAGAGGGGGGAGGAUGGCGCCACCAAAAAAUGUAUAAACAAGGAAAAUAAAAACUUGUAUAAUUUUAUUUUUUUGUACCGGGAUCAAACUCAGGACCUCAUGCUUGCCAGGAGGUGCUGUGCCACUGAGCUACGUCCCUGGCCCUUUCAUAAAUAUUUUAAUACU